UCGCAUCGAUGAAGAACGCAGCGAAAUGCGAUAAGUAAUGUGAAUUGCAGAAUUCAGUGAAUCAUCGAAUCUUUGAACGCACCUUGCGCUCCUUGGUAUUCCGAGGAGCAUGCCUGUUUGAGUGUCAGUAAAUUCUCAACUCUUCCAGUUUUUGUGACUGCGAUAGAGCUUGGAUGUGGAGGUCUUGCGGGCCCUGAUUGAAUGGGUCGGCUCCUCUGAAAUGCAUUAGCGGAACC
rnacentral:rRNA from 1 species